CAUUUAGCUUUAAUAAUAGGCGGAUUUUUUAUUAGUGACAAUGGCAGAUACAACAGUUGAUGCCACACGGCGCUUGAAUGUCAAAAAACAAACGUUGGAUGAUGCUUACGCGGCACCUGCGAAUUUUCUUGAAAUUGAUGUGAUUAAUCCUAUUACUCACGGCGUCGGCAAGAAACGAUAUACAGACUACGAGGUUCGAAUGAGGACAAAUCUACCUGUUUUCAAAGUGAAAGAUUCCAGUGUGCGGAGAAGAUAUAGUGAUUUUGAAUGGCUAAGGAAUGAGCUAGAACGGGAUAGCAAAAUUGUAGUACCUCCAUUGCCCGGUAAAGCUUGGAAACGGCAAAUGCCCUUUCGAGGUGACGAUGGUAUUUUUGAAGAAGAUUUUAUCGAGGAUCGCAGAAAAGGUUUAGAAACUUUCGUUAACAAGUGUAAUACCAUACCCCCGUGGGGGAGGGGGUUUUAACAGAAUUUUUAGCACAGCAUGAGACUCGGCACGACCCUGCAAGAAAGGGUUUCGGAGCCGCACACGAGACCAGGCGGAAUCCCUUGAGGGUACCCGGCGUCACGAGUUUCGAUAUGUGCAAUUGUCCUUCACCACGUAGCCUUGUUACUUCCUGGAAGGAACUAUUAAAAACGGUCAACUGUCCUUGUCAGGGCUAUCUCGCCGUCACGCUGUGAACCAUUCGACCACCGGCCUUUUACCACGAACUGGCGGUCCUAUCUCCAAUUAAUAGCUGGGCAUCCCUUAGCACAGAAUGAGCGUUGUCUUCAUAUGUUUCUACAAGAAUUAAUAAUUGACAAGAACUAUGUGCCUGGAAAAAUAAGAAAUACUUAAUUUGGAUGAAGAAAUUGUCAGUUACUGAAAAUCGUAGCAUGGCAUAAUCUGAAUUUUGUUAGAAAUUGACACCAGCGACGAUAAAGUACUGAUCGCCAAGUCCAAGGAUUUGAAGACUGCGCGAAAAGAUUUGACUCGUAAAAACAAGCAGGCGACUAUGUAUAAGUUUUUUCAUCAUAUUAAAUAUAUAAGGGAUAUUAAUGUGUCAUACUCUGGUCAGUUCGUGCUUGAUACCAGAAAUUGGUACUGUCUACACCAUAAGAUAAUAUUCAAAAGGAGAACAUUUUUCUAUCCAUUUGGCAUACCAGGGAAUAUUUUAAGGGUGUGCGAUGCAAUCGAGAUAAUGGGAAUAUUUACCUAGACACUAUUUAAAAAAAGUUAUGUGAACUUAUGUUAUACUUUAUAAAAAAGCGUGAUAAAUUUGAAUAACUAUUCAAUUAAAGUGAAAAUUGAGCAACUUAAUCAACCUCAGAGAACUAUAGGGUAAUAAAUAGAGAAAAGUUAAUUGAACCAUGAACGCCGCUCUCCUCCUUGGCAUGCGCUGUUUUUUUUUGUAGAUACGCGCAAAAUAGAAGGCGUGUUCUGCUGGUGGGUGAUUGAGCGUGACCUCUUUUUUCAAGUCGGCGAAUCAAGCGCAUAUGGAAGAACUAAGAAGGAAAUGUGACACUUACCAAUUCG